rnacentral:rRNA from 1 species
AGAGUUUGAUCCUGGCUCAGGAUGAACGCUGGCGGCGUGCCUAACACAUGCAAGUCGAGCGAAGCGAUUUAGCGGAAGUUUUCGGAUGGAAGUUAAAUUGACUGAGCGGCGGACGGGUGAGUAACGCGUGGGUAACCUGCCUCAUACAGGGGGAUAACAGUUAGAAAUGACUGCUAAUACCGCAUAAGCGCACAGCAUUGCAUGAUGCAGUGUGAAAAACUCCGGUGGUAUGAGAUGGACCCGCGUCUGAUUAGCUAGUUGGUGAGGUAAAGGCCCACCAAGGCGACGAUCAGUAGCCGACCUGAGAGGGUGAUCGGCCACAUUGGGACUGAGACACGGCCCAAACUCCUACGGGAGGCAGCAGUGGGGAAUAUUGCACAAUGGGGGAAACCCUGAUGCAGCAACGCCGCGUGAGUGAAGAAGUAUCUCGGUAUGUAAAGCUCUAUCAGCAGGGAAGAAAAUGACGGUACCUGACUAAGAAGCCCCGGCUAACUACGUGCCAGCAGCCGCGGUAAUACGUAGGGGGCAAGCGUUAUCCGGAUUUACUGGGUGUAAAGGGAGCGUAGACGGCGAAGCAAGUCUGAAGUGAAAGCCCGGGGCUUAACCCCGGGACUGCUUUGGAAACUGUUUUGCUAGAGUGCUGGAGAGGUAAGUGGAAUUCCUAGUGUAGCGGUGAAAUGCGUAGAUAUUAGGAGGAACACCAGUGGCGAAGGCGGCUUACUGGACAGUAACUGACGUUGAGGCUCGAAAGCGUGGGGAGCAAACAGGAUUAGAUACCCUGGUAGUCCACGCGGUAAACGAUGAAUG